rnacentral:rRNA from 1 species
UGGCGAACGGGUGAGUAAUACAUAAGUAACCUGGCCUUUACAGGGGGAUAACUACUGGAAACGGUAGCUAAUACCGCAUAACGUCGCAAGACCAAAGAGGGGACCUUCGGGCCUCUUGCCAUCGGAUGUGCCCAGAUGGGAUUAGCUAGUAGGUGGGGUAACGGCUCACCUAGGCGACGAUCCCUAGCUGGUCUGAGAGGAUGACCAGCCACACUGGAACUGAGACACGGUCCAG